ACGGCAGCACGGAGCUUGCUCUGGUGGCGAGUGGCGAACGGGUGAGUAAUAUAUCGGAACGUACCCUGGAGUGGGGGAUAACGUAGCGAAAGUUACGCUAAUACCGCAUACGAUCUAAGGAUGAAAGUGGGGGACUCGCAAGAGCCUCAUGCUCGUGGAGCGGCCGAUAUCUGAUUAGCUAGUUGGUAGGGUAAAAGCCUACCAAGGCAUCGAUCAGUAGCUGGUCUGAGAGGACGACCAGCCACACUGGAACUGAGACACGGUCCAGACUCCUACGGGAGGCAGCAGUGGGGAAUUUUGGACAAUGGGCGCAAGCCUGAUCCAGCAAUGCCGCGUGAGUGAAGAAGGCCUUCGGGUUGUAAAGCUCUUUUGUCAGGGAAGAAACGGUGAGAGCUAAUAUCUUUUGCUAAUGACGGUACCUGAAGAAUAAGCACCGGCUAACUACGUGCCAGCAGCCGCGGUAAUACGUAGGGUGCAAGCGUUAAUCGGAAUUACUGGGCGUAAAGCGUGCGCAGGCGGUUUUGUAAGUCUGAUGUGAAAUCCCCGGGCUCAACCCGGGAAUUGCAUUGGAGACUGCAAGGCUAGAAUCUGGCAGAGGGGGGUAGAAUUCCACGUGUAGCAGUGAAAUGCGUAGAUAUGUGGAGGAACACCGAUGGCGAACGCAGCUCCUCUGGGUCAAGAUUGACGCUCAUGCACGAAAGCGUGGGGAGCAAAC
rnacentral:rRNA from 1 species